rnacentral:tRNA from 1 species
GGGGUUGUGGCUCAGUGGUAGAGUGCUUGUCUUGCAUGCAUGAGGCACUGGGUUUGAUCCUCAGCACCA